GACGAACGCUGGCGGCGUGCUUAACACAUGCAAGUCGAGCGGUAAGGCCCUUUCGGGGGUACACGAGCGGCGAACGGGUGAGUAACACGUGGGUGACCUGCCCUCAGCUCUGGGAUAAGCCUGGGAAACCGGGUCUAAUACCGGAUAUGACUCCAUGACGCAUGUUGUGGGGUGGAAAGCCUUGUGCGGCUGAGGAUGGGCCCGCGGCCUAUCAGCUUGUUGGUGGGGUGANGGCCUACCAAGGCGACGACGGGUAGCCGGCCUGAGAGGGCGACCGGCCACACUGGGACUGAGACACGGCCCAGACUCCUACGGGAGGCAGCAGGUGGGGAAUCUUGCGCAAGUGGGACGGAAGCCUGACGCAGCGACGCCGC
rnacentral:rRNA from 1 species